rnacentral:rRNA from 1 species
CUUAGACUCGUUGGUGACCAGCGGAGGGUCAUUAUAGAGUUUUCUAAACUCCCAACCCAUGUGAACUUACCUUUUGUUGCCUCGGCAGAAGUUAUAUGUCUUCUUAUAGCUGCUGCCGGUGGACCAUUAAACUCUUGUUAUUUUAUGUAAUCUGAGCGUCUUAUUUUAAUAAGUCAAAACUUUCAACAACGGAUCUCUUGGUUCUGGCAUCGAUGAAGAACGCAGCGAAAUGCGAUAAGUAAUGUGAAUUGCAGAAUUCAGUGAAUCAUCGAAUCUUUGAACGCACAUUGCGCCCAUUAGUAUUCUAGUGGGCAUGCCUGUUCGAGCGUCAUUUCAACCCUUAAGCCUAGCUUAGUGUUGGGAAUCUACUUCUUUUAUUAGUUGUAGUUCCUGAAAUACAACGGCGGAUUUGUAGUAUCCUCUGAGCGUAGUAAUGUUUUUCUCGCUUUUGUUAGGUGCUAUAACUCCCAGCCGCUAAACCCCCAAUUUUUUGUGGUUGACCUCGGAUCAGGUAGGAAUACCCGCUGAACUUAAGCAUAUCAAAGGG